GAUUUCUAUUCCAAGAGAAGAGAUUGUCUGGGAUCCAACUCUGCACAGAUGGGUUAACAAAACUGAGCCCAAGGCUGAGAACAAGUGUGUACCACCACCUCCACCGAUGGGGACAUAUGGAUAUCAGGGGAACACUGGCAGUGUCCCCAAAGGAGUGAAUCCUUACUCUAUGAAAGCAGCAGGUCUAUGGGGCAGCAGAUACCCUACAAUGAAUUACAAUGAUAGGACCAACUCAAAGCCUCCAAGCCAUGGGCCUGGACUGCUUCCUAGACAGCUCUCUGGCUUGCUCCCUCCUUCACACUUUGACCUCAUGGCACCAAUGGUUGUGCCACCUGACACUCUACCCUACUGAGGUGCGAGGGCCAUCCUGUGCCACCAGUCAAUUGAUGGUGGAUGACCUUCUGACCCCGUGCUCGCCAGGUGACCCGGCUGCCAUAGAAUUGACCUGGAUGGAUGUGCCUAGCGACAAGCUGCUGUAGCCCAUCUGCAUGUCCGACAUGCUGCCCUCACUAUAUACCACGCAACCCACAGUCAACAUGGAGGUCUUGUUCAAGGUCAGGAAGUUCACAGAGGACUUAGAACAGGAGGGUUGAGAGCUCCUGGGUGGCAGGGGCUUUACUACUUCUUACUCAGUCUCUCCUAUCAAGACCCAACUCCAGUCAAAGAGUAGCUACAGUAUUACAGCAGUAUUACAACACUACGAACCUGCAUUAGCAAGAAUGAUGGAGCAUUUUAAUUUACACGCAAUUGUGCAAUGGAAAAAAAUGUUUUUUGAAUAUCCCAACUCCCCCUGAGACACCCACAAGUGCCUUGCUCAAGGGCACAGCGACAUCAUUAUUUAUUUUCCCACUUUGUCAGCUCCGGAAUUUGAGCCAGCAACCUAUCGGUAACUGGCCCAAUGAUCUAACCUUGAGGCUACGUGCCGCCCCUUAGAAUGUAGGGUGACUCCCCUAGUGGGUCCUGAACCCAGGUCAGCAGCACUACAUUGCUGUGUGUCUGUAUAGUUGAGGGUAUAUUGGUUUAGUAAUACUCAUUCCAGUUC